UACGGGGGGGGCAAGCGUUGUUCGGAAUUACUGGGCGUAAAGGGCUCGUAGGCGGCCAACUAAGUCGGAUGUGAAAUCCCCAGGCUUAACCUGGGAACUGCGUCCGAUACUGGCAGGCUUGAAUCCGGGAGAGGGAUGCGGAAUUCCAGGUGUAGCGGUGAAAUGCGUAGAUAUCUGGAGGAACACCGGUGGCGAAGGCGGCGAUCCUAGGAC
rnacentral:rRNA from 1 species